rnacentral:rRNA from 1 species
GGCCUUGACAUACUAAGAACUUUCCAGAGAUUGGAUUGGUGGCCUUCGGGAACUUAGAUACAGGUGCUGCAUGGCUGUCGUCAGCUCGUGUCGUGAGAUGUUGGGUUAAGUCCCGNAACGAGCGCAACCCUUUUCCUUAUUUGCCAGCGGGUCAUGCCGGGAACUUUAAGGAUACUGCCAGUGACAAACUGGAGGAAGGCGGGGACGACGUCAAGUCAUCAUGGCCCUUACGGCCAGGGCUACACACGUGCUACAAUGGUCGGUACAAAGGGUUGCUACCUCGCGAGAGGAUGCUAAUCUCAAAAAGCCGAUCGUAGUCCGGAUCGCAGUCUGCAACUCGACUGCGUGAAGUCGGAAUCGCUAGUAAUCGCGGAUCAGAAUGCCGCGGUGAAUACGUUCCCGGGCCUUGUACACACCGCCCGUCACACCAUGGGAGUUUGUUGCACCAGAAGUAGGUAGUCUAACCGCAAGGAGGACGCUUACCACGGUGUGGCCGAUGACUGGGGUGAAGUCGUAACAAGGUAAGCGUAGAUGA